rnacentral:rRNA from 1 species
UACGUAGGGUGCAAGCGUUGUCCGGAAUUAUUGGGCGUAAAGAGCUCGUAGGCGGUCUGUCACGUCGGCUGUGAAAACCCGGGGCUCAACCCCGGGCCUGCAGUCGAUACGGGCAGACUAGAGUGCGGUAGGGGAGACUGGAAUUCCUGGUGUAGCGGUGAAAUGCGCAGAUAUCAGGAGGAACACCGGUGGCGAAGGCGGGUCUCUGGGCCGUAACUGACGCUGAGGCGCGAAAGCGUGGGGAGCAAACAGG